rnacentral:rRNA from 1 species
GCUAAACGCGAAGAACCUUACCAGGCCUUGACAUGCAGAGAACUUUCCAGAGAUGGAUUGGUGCCUUCGGGAACUCUGACACAGGUGCUGCAUGGCUGUCGUCAGCUCGUGUCGUGAGAUGUUGGGUUAAGUCCCGUAACGAGCGCAACCCUUGUCCUUAGUUACCAGCACGUUAUGGUGGGCACCCUAAGGAGACUGCCGGUGACAAACCGGAGGAAGGUGGGGAUGACGUCAAGUCAUCAUGGCCUUUAUGGCCAGGGCUACACACGUGCUACAAUGGCAGGUACAGAGGGAAGCCAACCGGCAACGGGGAGCCAAUCCCAGAAAGCCUGUCUUAGUCCGGAUCGCAGUCUGCAACUCGACUCCGUGAAGUCGGAAUCGCUAGUAAUCGCGGAUCAGAAUGCCGCGGUGAAUACGUUCCCGGGUCUUGUACACACCGAGUCGUGGGAGGCAAGGGCACACAGGG